rnacentral:rRNA from 1 species
AAUGAAUGUUGGCGGCGUGGAUUAGGCAUGCAAGUCGUACGCUUUAUGUAGCAAUACAUGAAGAGUGGCGUAAGGGAGAGUAAUGCAUGGUUAGCUACCCUGGGGACUGGGAUAGCGGCGGGAAACUGCCGGUAAUACCAGAUGACAUCUUCGGAUCAAACGUGUGAAACGGCCCUAGGAGGUGACCAUGUCCUAUCAGCUAGUUGGCGGUGUAACGGACCACCAAGGCUAAGACGGGUAUGGGGCGUGAGAGCGUGCCCCCACUCACUGGGACUGAGACACUGCCCAGACACCUACGGGUGGCUGCAGUCGAGAAUCUUCGGCAAUGGGCGCAAGCCUGACCGAGCGACGCCGCGUGCGGGAUGAAGGCCUUCGGUUGUAACCGCUGUCGUAGGGGAGGAAGGAUCCUGUGAAGAACAGGGUUUGACCGAUCCUAGGAGGAAGGGCCGGCGUAAUCUCGUGCCAGCAGCCGCG